UUUAGACUAAACAGCCCAGACUAGCUCAUCAAUUAGACUAAAAGAUAUUCGAUAGGGGUACAGCCCUGUCGAACAAGGAUACAACCUAAACUAUAGGGCUAGAACUAAACUUCACCCCAGUGGGCCUUAAAGCCGCCAUCAGUAAAUAAAGCGUCACAGCACAACACUAUAAAUAUUAACAGCCCCACCAAACCCAUAGUAAACCACUGAGCCACACUAUAUUAAUAGUAGCACUAAUGCUAAAACUAGUAACAAGAAGACUUCUCUACGCACUCUCGUGCCCCAGUAAUAGAAAACCUACUGGACACUAACAGACCAAAACAGGCUAUUACAAACUGUCACCCCAACGCCGGGGGUGCCAAAAAGAAGGUUAAAAGCCACAUAAGGAACUCAGCAACCCUUUGUCCCAACUGUUUACCAAAAACACAGCCUUUAGCCAAACAAGUAUUAAAGGUGCUGCCUGCCCAGUGAGAAAUUUCAACGGCCGCGGUAUCCUAACCGUGCAAAGGUAGCGUAAUCACUUGUCUUUUAAUAAAGACUUGUAUGAACGGCUAAAUGAGGACAGACCUGUCUCUUGUAGCCAACCAGUGAAACUGAUCUUUAAGUACAAAAGCUUAAAUAAAAACAUAAGACGAGAAGACCCGUGGAGCUUAAAACCAACACUAUUAACACAAAAUAGCAUAGGUUUUGAGUUGGGGCGACUUCGGAACAAAAUAAAACUUCCGAGCACAGAGCUAACCGCUCUACCCUAGACUGACAAGUCAAAGGAAACCCGACCCGGUCACACCGAACAACGAACCAAGUUACCCCAGGGAUAACAGCGCCAUCUUCUUCAAGAGUCCAUAUCGACAAGAAGGUUUACGACCUCGAUGUUGGAUCAGGACACCCAAAUGGUGCAACAGCUAUUAAAGGUUCGUUUGUU
rnacentral:rRNA from 1 species